UGUGUGAGCAGUGUAAGGAUGUGGAUCAGAAGUUGAGCUUCGUGUGGAAGUCUGUAACGGUCCAAAUUACAUCUUCUGCUGAGUGCAGUGAGGCCACUCUCUCUUCUGCCCCGCGGUGUUGGAACCAAGCCAUACGGGCCGUGUCUUCAACUUAUCGACACCAGGUCGGAAAAGGAGUCAGUCGCCUUUCGCCCUGGCUCGAUACUGAUCCCGCCGCUGUCCAACAUCAGAUGCAAUGUCCCAACUAACUAGGGACGUGGACGUUGACGCCAAUGUUUCGUCGCGGUCCUGAGGAAUUAACCUGCACUAUUAACACAUGGCGAACUAAGCUGCUUUUCAGAUUAUCCGAGGCACCUCAGUAAACCCCUUACUCUCGUUUGUUAUCUGGGGUUUUCACCAAAUCUUCAAGUGAGUUACUCAGCUUAACAGGAUGGACCACGUGAAGGUGAGAGUCAGAGUUGAAGUCAUUGGCCAGUGUAUUUCUCUGACCCUUGUCUGGCAUUAAACGGAUACAUUAUUUUAUGCUCUCAGUAAUGGAAUCAUUUGUUUUAAUCACGUGAUACAAGGACAAAGGAAGGAGAGGUUCAAUGCAAGAACGCCAACAGAUCCACACACCGACCACCGAAGCUGGCCACUUGCGAAGUAAUGAAGACGGCAGCGUGGCUUUAAGUUUCGGGUAGAUUCAGUACAAAUGCACUCAAGGUUAAUGAUUAAUACUUUCUCUUGUUACAAAACACUACGGAUGUAGACUGGGAAGUCAAUAAACAUUCCUGGUGAAAUGUAGAAGUAAUCACUAGUACCAGGAGAAGGCGAUGAAGAUGAGUCUUCAGCCCGGAUUCUGACUGGAAUACUGUAGGAGGGAAUAAUGAAUUCGAAGCGACUACAGUACUGCGGUGCAUAAGGUAAGUAUUUAAACCAACGCACUACAAUUCCCGAGGAAAAUCACAUCUACUUCACAUUAAUCAUGGCCCCGAGUUACGGAAGAACCGGGAUCCAAAGUGCGGCUGAUCCAUCAAGCAGGGGAUCGUGGAAAGUUAAGUGAUGUGAUCGCCAACCUUCGCUAGCGGAGAAGGCACUUCGAGAUAAAAUUUGUGCAUAUUCAAGAUGUGAAAAUCAUAAGAAACUAGGACAGUUUAAAAGUUGUUUUUAAUAUGGUUGGGAGGAAAAAGGUCUGAAGUGACGUAAUGAAGAAGCUGAAAUUUUCUACAUUCCUCCCCCAUCUCUAAAGAAAUUAAAUUCAGUUUUGUCUGGGAACUUUCAUUCUGUUCGACGAAGCACUAGAAAUAGAAAACAAUAUUGGCCAUUUGAAUACGUUAUUUCUCUAACGUCAAUUAAAUAUAUGUAGGUAUAUUAAGACUGUAUUUCAUGUCGUUUAAUUAAUAAACACGUAACACAUG